rnacentral:rRNA from 1 species
UACGUAGGGGGCAAGCGUUAUCCGGAUCUACUGGGUGUAAAGGGAGCGUAGACGGUUCUGCAAGUAUGAAGUGGAAGCUCGGGGCUCAACCCCGGAACUGCUUUGGAAACUGUAGAACUGGAGUGCAGGAGAGGUAAGCGGGAUUCCUAGUGUAGCGGUGAAAUGCGUAGAUAUUAGGAGGAACACCAGAGGCGAAGGCGGCUUACUGGACUGUAACUGACGUUGAGGCCCGAAGGCGUGGGGAGCAAAC